UCUCCGUUGGUGAACCAGCGGAGGGAUCAUUAGCGAGUUGCCCGACUCCCAAACCCCCUGUGAACCGUACCGUCGCGUUGCCUCGGCGGGCGACGCCCCGGCGCCCACUGCGCGGCCCGGGGCGCCCGCCGGAGGGCCCCCAAACUCUUGCAACCCGCCCCCCGCCCCCCGGGGAGGGGGCGCGCCGUCCUCUGAGUCCCCCAGUGAGAACGAAUCAAAACUUUCAACAACGGAUCUCUUGGUUCUG
rnacentral:misc_RNA from 1 species